rnacentral:rRNA from 1 species
AACGAACGCUGGCGGCAGGCCUAACACAUGCAAGUCGAGCGAAGCCUUCGGGCUUAGCGGCGGACGGGUGAGUAACGCGCGGGAACGUGCCUUUUGGUACGGAAUAGCCCCGGGAAACUGGGAGUAAUACCGUAUGUGGUCGAGAGAAGAAAGAUUUAUCGCCAAAGGAACGGCCCGCGUUGGAUUAGGUAGUUGGUGGGGUAAUGGCCUACCAAGCCGACGAUACAUAGGUGGUUUGAUAGGAUGAGCAGCCACACGGGGACUGAGACACGGCCCAGACUCCUACGGGAGGCAGCAGUGGGGAAUCUUAGACAAUGGGGGAAACCCUGAUCUAGCCAUGCCGCGUGAUCGAUGAAGGCCUUAGGGUUGUAAAGAUCUUUCAGUGGGGAAGAUAAUGACUGUACCCACAGAAGAAGCCCCGGCUAACUCCGUGCCAGCAGCCGCAGUAACAC